rnacentral:rRNA from 1 species
GAUGAACGCUGGCGGCGUGCCUAAUACAUGCAAGUCGAGCGAACAGACGAGGAGCUUGCUCCUCUGACGUUAGCGGCGGACGGGUGAGUAACACGUGGAUAACCUACCUAUAAGACUGGGAUAACUUCGGGAAACCGGAGCUAAUACCGGAUAAUAUAUUGAACCGCAUGGUUCAAUAGUGAAAGACGGUUUUGCUGUCACUUAUAGAUGGAUCCGCGCCGCAUUAGCUAGUUGGUAAGGUAACGGCUUACCAAGGCAACGAUGCGUAGCCGACCUGAGAGGGUGAUCGGCCACACUGAAACUGAGACACGGUCCAGACUCCUACGGGAGGCAGCAGUAGGGAAUCUUCCGCAAUGGGCGAAAGCCUGACGGAGCAACGCCGCGUGAGUGAUGAAGGGCUUCGGAUCGUAAAACUCUGUUAUUAGGGAAGAACAAAUGUGUAAGUAACUAUGCACGUCUUGACGGUACCUGAUCAGAAAGCCACGGCUAACUACGU